GACGAACGCUGGCGGCGUGCUUAACACAUGCGAGUCGAACGAUGAACCCGGAGCUUGCUCUGGGGGAUUAGUGGCGAACGGGUGAGUAACACGUGAGUAACCUGCCCUGGACUCUGGGAUAAGCGUUGGAAACGACGUCUAAUACCGGAUAGGACCUUGGAUCGCAUGAUCUGGGGUGGAAAGUUUUUUCGGUCUGGGAUGGACUUGCGGCCUAUCAGCUUGUUGGUGAGGUAAUGGCUCACCAAGGCGUCGACGGGUAGCCGGCCUGAGAGGGUGACCGGCCACACUGGGACUGAGACACGGCCCAGACUCCUACGGGAGGCAGCAGUGGGGAAUAUUGCACAAUGGGCGAAAGCCUGAUGCAGCAACGCCGCGUGCGGGAUGACGGCCUUCGGGUUGUAAAACGCUUUUAGUAGGGAAGAAGGGCUUCGGCUUGACGGUACCUGCAGAAAAAGGACCGGCUAACUACGUG
rnacentral:rRNA from 1 species